rnacentral:rRNA from 1 species
GACGAACGCUGGCGGCGUGCUUAACACAUGCAAGUCGAACGGAAAGGCCCUGCUUUUGUGGGGUGCUCGAGUGGCGAACGGGGGAGUAACACGUGAGUAACCUGCCCUUGACUUUGGGAUAACUUCAGGAAACUGGGGCUAAUACAGGAUAGGAGCUCCUGCUGCAUGGGGGGGGAUGGAAAGUUUCGGCGGUGGGGGAUGGACUCGCGGGUUAUCAGCUUGUUGGUGGGGUAGUGGCUUACCAAGGCUUUGACGGGUAGCCGGCCUGAGAGGGUGACCGGCCACAUUGGGACUGAGAUACGGCCCAGACUCCUACGGGAGGCAGCAGUGGGGAAUAUUGCACAAUGGGCGGAAGCCUGAUGCAGCAACGCCGCGUGCGGGAUGACGGCCUUCGGGUUGUAAACCGCUUUCGCCUGUGACGAAGCGUGAGUGACGGUAAUGGGUAAAGAAGCACCGGCUAACUACGUG